GUGGGGAAUCUUGCGCAAUGGGCGAAAGCCUGACGCAGCCAUGCCGCGUGAAUGAUGAAGGUCUUAGGAUUGUAAAAUUCUUUCACCGGGGACGAUAAUGACGGUACCCGGAGAAGAAGCCCCGGCUAACUUCGUGCCAGCAGCCGCGGUAAUACGAAGGGGGCUAGCGUUGCUCGGAAUUACUGGGCGUAAAGGGCGCGUAGGCGGACAGUUUAGUCAGAGGUGAAAGCCCAGGGCUCAACCUUGGAAUUGCCUUUGAUACUGGCUGUCUUGAGUACGGGAGAGGUGAGUGGAACUCCGAGUGUAGAGGUGAAAUUCGUAGAUAUUCGGAAGAACACCAGUGUCGAAGGCGACUCACUGGCCCGUUACUGACGCUGAGGCGCGAAAGCGUGGGGAGCAAACAGGAUUAGAUACCCGAGUAGUCC
rnacentral:rRNA from 1 species